AUUGAACGCUGGCGGCAGGCCUAACACAUGCAAGUCGAGCGGAUGAAGGGAGUUUGCCCCUGGAUUCAGCGGCGGACGGGUGAGUAAUGCCUAGGAAUCUGCCUGGUAGUGGGGGAUAACGUCCGGAAACGGGCGCUAAUACCGCAUACGUCCUGAGGGAGAAAGUGGGGGAUCUUCGGACCUCACGCUAUCAGAUGAGCCUAGGUCGGAUUAGCUAGUUGGUGGGGUAAAGGCCUACCAAGGCGACGAUCCGUAACUGGUCUGAGAGGAUGAUCAGUCACACUGGAACUGAGACACGGUCCAGACUCCUACGGGAGGCAGCAGUGGGGAAUAUUGGACAAUGGGCGAAAGCCUGAUCCAGCCAUGCCGCGUGUGUGAAGAAGGUCUUCGGAUUGUAAAGCACUUUAAGUUGGGAGGAAGGGCAGUAAGUUAAUACCUUGCUGUUUUGACGUUACCAACAGAAUAAGCACCGGCUAACUUCGUG
rnacentral:rRNA from 1 species